rnacentral:rRNA from 1 species
GUCGUCAGCUCGUGCCGUGAGGUGUUGGGUUAAGUCCCGCAACGAGCGCAACCCCUAUUCCUAGUUGCCAGCACGUAAUGGUGGGGACUCAUGGGAGACUGCCGGGGUCAACUCGGAGGAAGGUGGGGAUGACGUCAAAUCAUCAUGCCCCUUAUGUCUUGGGCUUCACGCAUGCUACAAUGGCUGGUACAGAGAGUGGCGAGCCUGUGAGGGUGAGCGAAUCUCGGAAAGCCGGUCUCAGUUCGGAUUGGGGUCUGCAACUCGACCCCAUGAAGUCGGAGUCGC